rnacentral:rRNA from 1 species
AUGUCCACAAUACCCGGAUUUAGUCAGAUCCAAUUCGAGGGAUUUUGUAGGUUCAUUAAUCAAGCCUUAGCAGAAGAACUUGACAAGUUUCCAACAAUUAAAGAUCCAGAUCACGAAAUUGCAUUUCAAUUAUUUGCGAAAGGAUAUCAAUUGCUAGAACCCUCGAUAAAAGAAAGAGAUGUUGUGUAUGAAUCACUCACCUAUUCUUCCGAAUUAUAUGUAUCUGCGAGAUUAAUUUUUGGUUUCGAUGUGCAAAAGCAAACCAUUUCUAUCGGAAACAUUCCUAUAAUGAAUUCCUUAGGAACCUUUAUUAUAAAUGGAAUAUACCGAAUUGUGAUCAAUCAAAUGUUGCUAAGUCCUGGUAUUUACUACCGCUCGGAAUUAGAUCAUAAGGGAAUUUCUAUCUACACUGGCACUAUAAUAUCAGAUUUGGGGGAGAUCGGAAUUACCAAUUGA